UGUUAAGAAAGCACAUAGUACUCACAAUUGUUCGGACCCAGCAGAGUUUGAUCUUGGCUCAGAUGAACGCUGGCGGCAGGCUUACACAUGCAAGUCGAGCGGAUGACGGAGCUUGCUCCUUGAUUCAGCGGCGGACGGGUGAGUAAUGCCUAGGAAUCUGCCUGGUAGUGGGGGACAACGUUUUGAAAGGAACGCUAAUACCGCAUACGUCUACGGGAGAAAGCAGGGGACCUUCGGGCCUUGCGCUAUCAGAUGAGCCUAGGUCGGAUUAGCUAGUUGGUGAGGUAAUGGCUCACCAAGGCGACGAUCCGUAACUGGUCUGAGAGGAUGAUCAGUCACACUGGAACUGAGACACGGUCCAGACUCCUACGGGAGGCAGCAGUGGGGAAUAUUGGACAAUGGGCGAAAGCCUGAUCCAGCCAUGCCGCGUGUGUGAAGAAGGUCUUCGGAUUGUAAAGCACUUUAAGUUGGGAGGAAGGGCAGUAAGUUAAUACCUUGCUGUUUUGACGUUACCGACAGAAUAAGCACCGGCUAACUCUGUGCCAGCAGCCGCGGUAAUACAGAGGGUGCAAGCGUUAAUCGGAAUUACUGGGCGUAAAGCGCGCGUAGGUGGUUUGUUAAGUUGGAUGUGAAAGCCCCGGGCUCAACCUGGGAACUGCAUCCAAAACUGGCAAGCUAGAGUACGGUAGAGGGUGGUGGAAUUUCCUGUGUAGCGGUGAAAUGCGUAGAUAUAGGAAGGAACACCAGUGGCGAAGGCGACCACCUGGACUGAUACUGACACUGAGGUGCGAAAGCGUGGGGAGCAAACAGGAUUAGAUACCCUGGUAGUCCACGCCGUAAACGAUGUCAACUAGCCGUUGGAAUCCUUGAGAUUUUAGUGGCGCAGCUAACGCAUUAAGUGACCGCCUGGAGACGCCCGCCC
rnacentral:rRNA from 1 species